UACGUAGGUGGCAAGCGUUGUCCGGAAUUAUUGGGCGUAAAGCGCGCGCAGGCGGUUUCUUAAGUCUGAUGUGAAAGCCCACGGCUCAACCGUGGAGGGUCAUUGGAAACUGGGGAACUUGAGUGCAGAAGAGGAAAGUGGAAUUCCAAGUGUAGCGGUGAAAUGCGUAGAGAUUUGGAGGAACACCAGCGGCGAAGGCGGCUUUCUGGUCCGAUUCUGACGCUGAGGCGCGAAAGCGUGGGGAGCGAUCCGG
rnacentral:rRNA from 1 species